rnacentral:rRNA from 1 species
AGUGAACGCUGGCGGUAGGCCUAACACAUGCAAGUCGAACGGCAGCACAGUAAGAGCUUGCUCUUACGGGUGGCGAGUGGCGGACGGGUGAGGAAUACAUCGGAAUCUACUUUUUCGUGGGGGAUAACGUAGGGAAACUUACGCUAAUACCGCAUACAACCUACGGGUGAAAGCAGGGGAUCUUCGGACCUUGCGCGAUUGAAUGAGCCGAUGUCGGAUUAGCUAGUUGGCGGGGUAAAGGCCCACCAAGGCGACGAUCCGUAGCUGGUCUGAGAGGAUGAUCAGCCACACUGGAACUGAGACACGGUCCAGACUCCUACGGGAGGCAGCAGUGGGGAAUAUUGGACAAUGGGCGCAAGCCUGAUCCAGCCAUACCGCGUGGGCGAAGAAGGCCUUCGGGUUGUAAAGCCCUUUUGUUGGGAAAGAAAAGCAGCAGGUUAAUACCCCGCUGUUCUGACGGUACCCAAAGAAUAAGCACCGGCUAACUUCGUG